rnacentral:rRNA from 1 species
UACGUAGGGUGCGAGCGUUAAUCGGAAUUACUGGGCGUAAAGCGUGCGCAGGCGGUGAUGUAAGGCCGAUGUGAAAUCCCCGGGCUUAACCUGGGAACUGCAUUGGUGACUGCAUCGCUCGAGUAUGGCAGAGGGGGGUAGAAUUCCACGUGUAGCAGUGAAAUGCGUAGAGAUGUGGAGGAAUACCGAUGGCGAAGGCAGCCCCCUGGGUCAAUACUGACGCUCAUGCACGAAAGCGUGGGGAGCAAACAGG